rnacentral:rRNA from 1 species
ACGUAGGGAGCAAGCGUUAUCCGGAUUUACUGGGUGUAAAGGGCGCGUAGGCGGGAAUGCAAGUCAGAUGUGAAAUCUGAGGGCUCAACCCUCAAACUGCAUUUGAAACUGUAUUUCUUGAGUGAUGGAGAGGCAAGUGGAAUUCCUAGUGUAGCGGUUAAUUGCGUAGAGAUGAGGAGGAGCACCAGUGGCGAAGGCGGCUUGCUGGACAUUAACUGACGCUGAGGCGAGUAAUCGUGGGGAGUAAAUAG